GACGAACGCUGGCGGCGUGCUUAACACAUGCAAGUCGAACGGAAAGGCCCUGCUUUUGUGGGGUGCUCGAGUGGCGAACGGGUGAGUAACACGUGAGUAACCUGCCCUUGACUUUGGGAUAACUUCAGGAAACUGGGGCUAAUACCGGAUAGGAGCUCCUGCUGCAUGGUGGGGGUUGGAAAGUUUCGGCGGUUGGGGAUGGACUCGCGGCUUAUCAGCUUGUUGGUGGGGUAGUGGCUUACCAAGGCUUUGACGGGUAGCCGGCCUGAGAGGGUGACCGGCCACAUUGGGACUGAGAUACGACCCAGACUCCUACGGGAGGCAGCAGUGGGGAAUAUUGCACAAUGGGCGGAAGCCUGAUGCAGCAACGCCGCGUGCGGGAUGACGGCCUUCGGGUUGUAAACCGCUUUCGCCUGUGACGAAGCGUGAGUGACGAUAAUGGGUAAAGAAGCACCGGCUAACUACGUG
rnacentral:rRNA from 1 species